GAAACCAAGCACCAUCAAAAAGGCUUUGCGAUUACGCCACAAACCUUUCAACGAACCGGCUUCUUUUAAUGCGCGAGUCUCAUGCUUCGAGGUUUCAUCCAGCUGGCGACGUAGCCAUAACCCARACCGCCAGCUAAGGUCCCAAAGUCAUGGUUAAGUGGGAAACGAUGUGGGAAGGCCCAGACAGCCAGGAUGUUGGCUUAGAAGCAGCCAUCAUUUAAAGAAAGCGUAAUAGCUCACUGGUCGAGUCGGCCUGCGCGGAAGAUGUAACGGGGCUAAACCAUGCACCGAAGCUGCGGCAGCGACGCUGAUGCGUUGUUGGGUAGGGGAGCGUUCUGUAAGCCUGUGAAGGUGUGUCGUGAGGCAUGCUGGAGGUAUCAGAAGUGCGAAUGCUGACAUAAGUAACGAUAAAGCGGGUGAAAAGCCCGCUCGCCGGAAGACCAAGGGUUCCUGUCCAACGUUAAUCGGGGCAGGGUGAGUCGACCCCUAAGGCGAGGCCGAAAGGCGUAGUCGAUGGGAAACGGGUUAAUAUUCCCGUACUUGGUGUUACUGCGAAGGGGGGACGGAGAAGGCUAUGUUGGCCGGGCGACGGUUGUCCCGGUUUAAGCGUGUAGGUGUGUGUUCCAGGUAAAUCCGGUUCACUUUAACACUGAGGCGUGACGACGAGGCACUACGGUGCUGAAGCAACAAAUGCCCUGCUUCCAGGAAAAGCCUCUAAGCAUCAGGUAACACGAAAUCGUACCCCAAACCGACACAGGUGGUCAGGUAGAGAAUACCAAGGCGCUUGAGAGAACUCGGGUGAAGGAACUAGGCAAAAUGGUGCCGUAACUUCGGGAGAAGGCACGCUGACACGUAGGUGAAGUGAUUUACUCAUGGAGCUGAAGUCAGUCGAAGAUACCAGCUGGCUGCAACUGUUUAUUAAAAACACAGCACUGUGCAAACACGAAAGUGGACGUAUACGGUGUGACGCCUGCCCGGUGCCGGAAGGUUAAUUGAUGGGGUCAGCGUAAGCGAAGCUCCUGAUCGAAGCCCCGGUAAACGGCGGCCGUAACUAUAACGGUCCUAAGGUAGCGAAAUUCCUUGUCGGGUAAGUUCCGACCUGCACGAAUGGCGUAAUGAUGGCCAGGCUGUCUCCACCCGAGACUCAGUGAAAUUGAACUCGCUGUGAAGAUGCAGUGUACCCGCGGCAAGACGGAAAGACCCCGUGAACCUUUACUAUAGCUUGACACUGAACAUUGAGCCUUGAUGUGUAGGAUAGGUAGGUGGCUUUGAAUUGUGGAAACAAGUCUGCAUGGAGCUGACCUAGAAAUAACACCCUUUAAUGUUUGAUGUUCUAUCGUGGACCCGUAAUCCGGGUUGCGGACAGUGUCUGGUGGGUAGUUUGACUGUGGCGGUCUCCUCCUAAAGAAUAACGGAGGAGCACGAAGGGUGAGUGAUCCUAGUCGGACAUCAGGAGGUUAGUGCAAUGGCGUAAGC
rnacentral:rRNA from 1 species